rnacentral:rRNA from 1 species
UACAGAGGGUGCAAGCGUUGCUCGGAUUUACUGGGCGUAAAGCGUACGCAGACGGUGAGAAAGGUCGGAUGUGAAAGCCCCGGGCUCAACCCGGGAACUGCAUCCGAAACCAUCUCGCUAGAGUAUGAGAGAGGGAAGCAGAAUUCCUGGUGUAGAGGUGAAAUUCGUAGAUAUCAGGAGGAAUACCUGCGGCGAAGGCGGCUUCCUGGCUCAUUACUGACGUUCAGGUACGAAAGCGUGGGUAGCAAACAGGAUUAGAAACCCCAGUAGU